CCGCCUGCCCUGUGACUAUAUGUUUAACGGCCGCGGUAUCUUAACCGUGCGAAGGUAGCGUAAUCACUUGUCUUUUAAAUGAAGACCUGUAUGAAUGGCAUCACGAGGGCUUAACUGUCUCCCCUCUCCAGUCAAUGAAAUUGACCUCCCCGUGCAGAGGCGGGGAUAUUUCUAUAAGACGAGAAGACCCUGUGGAGCUUUAGACCUAAAAUAAACCACGUUUAAUAUACUAAAAUUAAUAGCAAAAACUUAGUGGACAUUUAUUUAAGUGUCUUUGGUUGGGGCGACCGCGGAGUAAAACACAACCUCCAUGUGGACGGGGAUACUAUCCCUAAAACUCAGAGCCUCCACUCCAAGCAACAGAAAUUCUGACCUCACUGAUCCGGUACAGCCGAUUAACGAACCCAGUUACCCCAGGGAUAACAGCGCAAUCCCCUCUCAGAGCUCAUAUCGACGAGGGGGUUUACGACCUCGAUGUUGGAUCAGGACAUCCUAGUGGUGCAGCCGCUAUUG
rnacentral:rRNA from 1 species